rnacentral:rRNA from 1 species
GCACUAGUUGUGGGGACCUUCCACGGUUUCUGCGACGCAGCUAACGCAUUAAGUGCCCCGCCUGGGGAGUACGAUCGCAAGAUUAAAACUCAAAGGAAUUGACGGGGCCCCGCACAAGCAGCGGAGCAUGCGGCUUAAUUCGACGCAACGCGAAGAACCUUACCAAGGCUUGACAUAUACAGGAAUAUGGCAGAAAUGUCAUAGCCGCAAGGUCUGUAUACAGGUGGUGCAUGGUUGUCGUCAGCUCGUGUCGUGAGAUGUUGGGUUAAGUCCCGCAACGAGCGCAACCCUCGUUCUGUGUUGCCAGCAUUUAGUUGGGGACUCACAGGAGACUGCCGGGGUUAACUCGGAGGAAGGUGGGGAUGACGUCAAAUCAUCAUGCCCCUUAUGUCUUGGGCUGCACGCAUGCUACAAUGGCUGGUACAAACGGCUGCGAUACCGCAAGGUGGAGCGAAUCCGAUAAAGCCAGUCUCAGUUCGGAUUGGGGUCUGCAACUCGACCCCAUGAAGUCGGAGUUGCUAGUAAUCGUAGAUCAGCAACGCUACGGUGAAUACGUUCCCGGGGUUUGUACACACCGCCCGUCACGUCACGAAAGUCGGUAACACCCGAAGUCAGUGGCCCAACCGUAAGGGGG